UGGGGAAUAUUGGACAAUGGGCGAAAGCCUGAUCCAGCCAUGCCGCGUGUGUGAAGAAGGUCUUCGGAUUGUAAAGCACUUUAAGUUGGGAGGAAGGGCAGUAAGCGAAUACCUUGCUGUUUUGACGUUACCGACAGAAUAAGCACCGGCUAACUCUGUGCCAGCAGCCGCGGUAAUACAGAGGGUGCAAGCGUUAAUCGGAAUUACUGGGCGUAAAGCGCGCGUAGGUGGUUCGUUAAGUUGAAUGUGAAAGCCCCGGGCUCAACCUGGGAACUGCAGCGAAAACUGGCGGGCUAGAGUAGGGCAGAGGGUGGUGGAAUUUCCUGUGUAGCGGUGAAAUGCGUAGAUAUAGGAAGGAACACCAGUGGCGAAGGCGACCGCCUGGGCUCAUACUGACACUGAGGUGCGAAAGCGUGGGGAGCAAACAGG
rnacentral:rRNA from 1 species